UGAGGAGUAUUGGUCAAUGGGCGGUAGCCUGAACCAGCCAAGUAGCGUGAAGGAUGAAGGUUCUAUGGAUUGUAAACUUCUUUUAUAAAGGAAUAAAGUGAGGCACGUGUGCCUUUUUGUAUGUACUUUAUGAAUAAGGAUCGGCUAACUCCGUGCCAGCAGCCGCGGUAAUACGGAGGAUCCGAGCGUUAUCCGGAUUUAUUGGGUUUAAAGGGAGCGUAGAUGGGUUGUUAAGUCAGUUGUGAAAGUUUGCGGCUCAACCGUAAAAUUGCAAUUGAUACUGGCGUCCUUGAGUGAAGUAGAGGUUGGCGGAAUUCCGAGUGUAGCGGUGAAAUGCGUAGAUAUUCGGAGGAACACCGGUGGCGAAGGCGGCCAACUGGGCUUUAACUGACGCUGAGGCUCGAAAGUGUGGGGAGCAAACAGGAUUAGAUACC
rnacentral:rRNA from 1 species